ACGUAGGUGGCGAGCGUUGUCCGGAUUUAUUGGGCGUAAAGCGCCCGCAGGCGGCUUGGUAAGUUUGGGGUGAAAUCUCCCGGCUCAACUGGGAGGGUGCCUCGAAAACUGUCAGGCUUGAGGCAUGGAGAGGGAUGCGGAAUUCCCGGUGUAGUGGUGAAAUGCGUAGAUAUCGGGAGGAACACCAGUGGCGAAGGCGGCAUCCUGGCCAUGUCCUGACGCUCAGGGGCGAAAGCGUGGGGAGCAAACCGGAUUAGAUACCCGGGUAGUCCACGCCGUAAACGAUGAAUACUAGGUGUGGGGGGUAUCGACCCCCUCUGUGCCGAAGCUAACGCGAUAAGUAUUCCGCCUGGGGACUACGGCCGCAAGGCUA
rnacentral:rRNA from 1 species